rnacentral:rRNA from 1 species
GACGAACGCUGGCGGCGUGCCUAAUACAUGCAAGUUGAGCGAUGAAGAUUGGUGCUUGCACCAAUUUGAAGAGCAGCGAACGGGUGAGUAACGCGUGGGGAAUCUGCCUUUGAGCGGGGGACAACAUUUGGAAACGAAUGCUAAUACCGCAUAACAACUUUAAACAUAAGUUUUAAGUUUGAAAGAUGCAAUUGCAUCACUCAAAGAUGAUCCCGCGUUGUAUUAGCUAGUUGGUGAGGUAAAGGCUCACCAAGGCGAUGAUACAUAGCCGACCUGAGAGGGUGAUCGGCCACAUUGGGACUGAGACACGGCCCAAACUCCUACGGGAGGCAGCAGUAGGGAAUCUUCGGCAAUGGACGAAAGUCUGACCGAGCAACGCCGCGUGAGUGAAGAGGUUUUCGGAUCGUAAAACUCUGUUGGUAGAGAAGAACGUUGGUGAGAGUGGAAAGCUCAUCAAGUGACGGUAACUACCCAGAAAGGGACGGCUAACUACGUG